UACGUAGGGACCAAGCGUUGUUCGGAUUUACUGGGCGUAAAGCGCACGCAGGCGGUUCGCCAAGUUUGGAGUGACAGUUGUCGGCUCAACCGACAAAGGACUUCAAAAACUGGUGAACUUGAGGACGAGAGAGGAACAUGGAACUCCAGGUGUAGUAGUGAAAUGCGUAGAUAUCUGGAAGAACACCAAUGGCGAAGGCAAUGUUCUGGCUCGUUUCUGACGCUCAGGUGCGAAAGCCAGGGUAGCGAACGGG
rnacentral:rRNA from 1 species